rnacentral:rRNA from 1 species
UACGUAGGGGGGCAAGCGUUUGUCCGGAUUUAUUGGGUGUAAAGAGCGUGUAGGCGGCCAGACAGGUCCGUUGUGAAAACUGGAGGCUCAACCUCCAGACGUCGAUGGAAACCGUCUGGCUAGAGUCCGGAAGAGGAGAGUGGAAUUCCUGGUGUAGCGGUGAAAUGCGCAGAUAUCAGGAAGAACACCCGUGGCGAAAGCGGCUCUCUGGGGACGGUACUGACGCUGAGACGCGAAAGCGUGGGGAGCGAACAGG